rnacentral:rRNA from 1 species
UGACGGUACUUGACUAAGAAGCCCCGGCUAACUACGUGCCAGCAGCCGCGGUAAUACGUAGGGGGCAAGCGUUAUCCGGAUUUACUGGGUGUAAAGGGUGCGUAGGUGGCAUGGUAAGUCAGAUGUGAAAUACCGGGGCUCAACCCCGGGGCUGCAUUUGAAACUGCCAGGCUGGAGUACAGGAGAGGCAAGCGGAAUUCCUAGUGUAGCGGUGAAAUGCGUAGAUAUUAGGAGGAACACCAGUGGCGAAGGCGGCUUGCUGGACUGUUACUGACACUGAGGCACGAAAGCGUGGGGAGCAAACAGGAUUAGAUACCCUG